rnacentral:rRNA from 1 species
GACGUAGGGCGCGAGCGUGUCCGGAUUUAUUGGGCGUAAAGAGCUCGUAGGCGGCUUGUCGCGUCGAAUGUGAAAACCCACGGCUCAACUGUGGGCUUGCAUUCGAUACGGGCAGGCUAGAGUUCGGUAGGGGAGACUGGAAUUCCUGGGUGUAGCGGUGAAAUGCGCAGAUAUCAGGAGGAACACCGGUGGCGAAGGCGGGUCUCUGGGCCGAUGACUGACGCUGAGGAGCGAAAGCGUGGGGAGCGAACAGG